AGUGGCGCACGGGUGAGUAACAUGUGGGAAUCUACCUGAAGGUUCGGAAUAACUGCGGGAAACUGUAGCUAAUACCGGAUGUGUCUGCAAAGAGAAAGAUUUAUCGCCUUCAGAUGAGCCCGCACUAGGUUAGCUAGUUGGUGAGGUAACUGCUCCACCAAGGCUACGAUCUAUAGCUGAUUUGAGAGGAUGAUCAGCCACACUGGGACUGAGACACGGCCCAGACUCCUACGGGAGGCAGCAGUAGGGAAUAUUGGACAAUGGGGGAAACCCUGAUCCAGCAAUGCCGCGUGAGUGAAGAAGGCCUUCGGGUUGUAAAACUCUUUCAUCAAUGAUGAUAAUGACAUUAGUUGAAGAAGAAGCUCCGGCUAACUUCGUGCCAGCAGCCGCGGUAAUACGAAGGGAGCUAGCGUUGUUCGGAAUCACUGGGCGUAAAGCGUAUGUAGGCGGAUCAAAAAGUUAGAUGUGAAAUCCCUGGGCUCAACCCAGGAACUGCAUUUAAAACUAGUGAUCUAGAAUUUGGUAGGGGUUAGUAGAAUUUCCAGUGUAGAGGUGAAAUUCGUAGAUAUUGGAAAGAAUACCAGUGGCGAAGGCGACUAACUGGGCCAUUUUUGACGCUGAGAUACGAAAGCGUGGGUAGCAAACAGGAUUAGAUACCCUGGUAGUCCACGCAGUAAACGAUGAGUGCUAGUCGCUGGGACAAUAGUUUCAGUGUCGAAGCUAACGCAUUAAGCACUCCGCCUGGGAAGUAC
rnacentral:rRNA from 1 species